GGGUGAAUGUGUAGGGUUAUAGUCCUGAAAGGUUGAUGAGCAGGAGGAAGAUCAUGAGGGAUGUUAGAAUCAGGGCUCAUUUGUGUCCUUUUUCAUCUAGAGGUAUUAUUAGUUGUUUUGUAACUAGGUUAACAAACCAUAGCUGGAGGGUUGAGAGUGGGUUAGUGAUUCAUCGGUUAUCCAGGGAUGGUAGUAGGAGGGCUGGGAAUGUUAUUGAGGUGAGGAUUAGUGGGAUUCCUAGGAAGGAUGGGCUUGAAAACUGGUCAAAGAAGCUGAAGUUCAUGGUCAGGUUCAGGGGGUGGUGCUUGGAGCGAUGGGUAGUUUGUUAGAGGGGGGAUUUAUUGAUACGAAUGACAAAGGUUUGGGCUGGAUGAUUAAAGAGAAAGUGAGUCAUGAAGUGAGCAUGAUAAAAAAUCAGGGGUUGGGGUUUAGUUGAGGCAUAUAAUUAAGGGGGGGAGGGUCCCUCUUUCUUUUGCUUAAAAGGCUAAUGCUGGUUCAUAGCUUCUUAAUGAUUAGGAUUAGGAUUUUGCUAAUUCCCUUCCUUUUUGCUAAUUCCCUUCCUUUUUCCUCCUCCCGCAGAUGGGUACGUUCUGGUGGAACACUUGAACUUCAGACAGUACUAACUGCCCUGAGAGCUGCUGUCCCCUGGAGCAUCCCUGAAGGUCUCCUGUGCUUGCUGCAUCCCUGACAGCCCAUGUUGGUCAGCUGUGGGGUGGUGAUGGGAAUGUAAAUAAAGCUGGAGUUUUGUACACUG